rnacentral:rRNA from 1 species
UACGAAGGGGGCGAGCGUUGUUCGGAAUCACUGGGCGUAAAGGGCUCGUAGGCGGCCAACUAAGUCGGACGUGAAAUCCCUCAGCUUAACUGGGGAACUGCGUCCGAUACUGGAUGGCUUGGAUUUGGGAGAGGGAUGCGGAAUUCCAGGUGUAGCGGUGAAAUGCGUAGAUAUCUGGAGGAACACCGGUGGCGAAGGCGGCAUCCUGGACCAAUAUUGACGCUGAGGAGCGAAAGCUAGGGGAGCAAACGGG